AGAGUUUGAUCCUGGCUCAGGAUGAACGCUAGCGGCAGGCUUAACACAUGCAAGUCGAGGGGCAGCACGGGUAGCAAUACUUGGUGGCGACCGGCGCACGGGUGAGUAACGCGUAUGCAACCUACCUUUAACAGGAGGAUAGCCCCGAGAAACCUGGAUUAAUACCCCAUAGUUCUGUUGAAUCGCAUGGUUUAACAGAUAAAGUUGAGGCGGUUAUGGAUGGGCAUGCGUGCCAUUAGGUAGUUGGUGAGGUAACGGCUCACCAAGCCAGCGAUGGCUACGGGGUCUAAAAGGAUGGCCCCCCACACUGGUACUGAGACACGGACCAGACUCCUACGGGAGGCAGCAGUGAGGAAUAUUGGUCAAUGGGCGAAAGCCUGAACCAGCCAUGCCGCGUGAAGGAAGACGGCCCUAUGGGUUGUAAACUGCUUUUAUAUGGGAGCAAUAAGACCUACGUGUAGGUUGAUGAGAGUACCGUAAGAAUAAGGAUCGGCUAACUCCGUGCCAGCAGCCGCGGUAAUACGGAGGAUCCAAGCGUUAUCCGGAUUUACUGGGUUUAAAGGGUGCGUAGGCGGAUUGAUAAGUCACGGUGAAAUAUUUCAGCUUAACUGCAGAACUGCCAUUGAUACUGCCAGUCUGGAGUAUGGUUGAGGUAGCUGGAAUGUGUCAUGUAGCGGUGAAAUGCUUAGAGAUGACACAGAACACCGACGGCGAAGGCAGGUUACCAACCCAUUACUGACGCUGAGGCACGAAAGCGUGGGGAUCAAACAGGAUUAGAUACCCUGGUAGUCCACGCCGUAAACGAUGAUCACUCGCUGUUUGCGAUAUACAGCAAGCGGCUGAGCGAAAGCAUUAAGUGAUCCACCUGGGGAGUACGAUCGCAAGGUUGAAACUCAAAGAAUUGACGGGGACCCGCACAAGCAGCGGAGCAUGUGGUUUAAUUCGAAGCAACGCGAAGAACCUUACCAGGUCUUGACAUCCCUCUGAAUGGCGCUUAGCAGCGCAGGUCUUUCGGGACAGAGGAGACAGGUGGUGCAUGGUUGUCGUCAGCUCGUGUCGUGAGAUGUUGGGUUAAGUCCCGCAACGAGCGCAACCCUUGCCUUUAGUUGCCAGCACAUAAUGGUGGGCACUCUAGAGAGACUGCCGGUGACAAACCGGAGGAAGGUGGGGAUGACGUCAAAUCAUCAUGCCCCUUAUGGCCUGGGCUACAAACGUAAUACAAUGGCGUAUACAAAGGGAUGCGAAAGGGCGACCUGGAGCAAAACUCACAAAGUACGUCUCAGUUCAGAUUGGAGUCUGCAACUCGACUCCAUGAAGGCGGAUCGCUAGUAAUCGCGACCCAGCCAUGGCGCGGUGAAUACGUUCCCGGGCCUUGUACACACCGCCCGUCAAGCCAUGGAAGCUGGGGGUGCCUGAAGUUCGUGACCGCAAGGAGCGACCUAGGGCAAAACUAGUAACUGGGGCUAAGUCGUAACAAGGUAACC
rnacentral:rRNA from 1 species